AGUCACUGACAUUAGAUACCCGCGUAGUCCUAGCCGUAAACGAUACUCGCUAGGUGUCGGCCACGGUGCGACCGUUGUCGGUGCCGUAGGGAAGCCGUGAAGCGAGCCACCUGGGAAGUACGGCCGCAAGGCUGAAACUUAAAGGAAUUGGCGGGGAGCACCACAACGGGUGGAGCUUGCGGUUUAAUUGGAUUCAACGCCGGAAAUCUUACCGGGACCGACAGCAACAUGAAGGCCAGGCUGAAGACUUUGCCGGAUUAGCUG
rnacentral:rRNA from 1 species